CUCUAAUACAUUCUCGUGGUACAUAAGUUGAUAAUUAGAUACAAUUAACUGACAAUUCAAGAUUGUGAGAAGACUAAAAUCAGUUGUGUAUGAAUAUACUAACCCUGCAAAAUAUUGCAACACAGAGAAAUAAAAGUAUAUAUUUUCUUGUCAGCAGUCAUGCAUAACAGUUUGGCAACGAAAAAUUUCCAAUCUGUUUCAAUUUUCCUGUUGGUAACUAACCUAUUCAAAGCACUGCUGAUUUUAGGUCUAGUCCUUUACUCGAUCGCCAAUUCCCUUCCCAAUUCUCCAGCCAAUUCCCAUUUAUUUUCCUCUUUUAGGAUUAGGGAACUUUCAGAAUCAGUCUCUUCAGAAGAAAAUUCCAAGGAUUAUCCAACUAAUAUCAGCCAUCUUGUUUUUUGGAUUUCAUGGUUCUGAGGGAGCUUGGCAUUACAGAAAAGCAUACGUCGAAUCGUGGUGGCGACCAAAUAUCACUAGGGGAUAUAUAUAUUUAGAUACAGCUCCAACCAGAGAUCUCCUUCCGUGCCAUACUCAUUUUCAAUCACAAAUUCUCCCAAUAAAAUAAUUUUACACGUAAAUUCAUAGCAUUUUUCCAUACAUUCUUCAAAAAUAUCAUUUUUUCAUUAAUU
rnacentral:lncRNA from 1 species